ensembl:lncRNA
CCCACCUUGAGCAGCUCUUACGUUUUGCCAUCAUCAAGGUGCAAAUGCGACAGUGUUUGCAAGGAUGAAAAUCCAGCAGAUGCUCCAAGUAUGUGGCGCCUUCCCACCCAUGAACCGUUUUCUAGCUCACACGCUUUUGUGUUGCAGUGUUUGUAUUUACAAAGAGGCCAUAAAGACUCCAGAUUCAAUAGGUGUAAGAAGGGAGGAAUUUCUCUAUAAACACCAGAGUCAUCCCAGUCAUCAAGAUUCUACAGAGGCACGCUUCCAGUAAUGAGGAGAACAAAUGCACAUACGACAUUUAGUAUGGAGAGAUGAUAUAUUAAUGUGAAACCAUUUUUAAAGACAUUUUCUGUAUGACUUUACUAGUAUCUCAUAUCAAUCUGGAGGAAUUUAGGCCCACCUUUUUUUUUACUGUGUUGCUCCAUGAACUUUAGCAUUUGACAUGCCAUUCGAGGCCUGUAGAGCCUGAGGUGUGCUUCAUGUUUUGUUUUGUUGUUUUUUUCAUUAGCUUUUCUUUAAUUUUUUAAAUAUGUGUCAACAUUAGUGUGAAUUUUCUGGGAUGUCCACUUUUGGGAAGAUAGUGGUAUUUUGUUAAGACUCACCUGAAUACUCCAAACAAGGCAAACUACAAACACCUCUGCUUUCAUAGAGGGGAUAAUAAUCAAUUAAUCAAGUGUACGUGAUUAGCAGAUCCUGCUGCUACUUAAUUCCUGUGGAAGUAGUAAGGGUGUACUUUGUUUUUCAAAAAACUUAAUAGAGUCCUGUGAAGACUUUCGUUUUCAUGACUGCACUUCUGUAAGAGAUAAUUCAUGUGAGUAAAACUGACAAUAUAGUAAAUAACACUAACAGCCAAUGAGAAGUAAUAGGAAAAAUAUUAAUGUUAAAUUUACUGUUUUACAGAGUGACAGCAUGCAUUUGAAAAAGGUCUGAGUUCAUUAGUUCGCUUGGUUCUUCUGUUCAAAAUGAAUUUCCACUGCCCUCUAGUGGUGGACUACUCACUCCAUCCAUCCAACCAUUAUCUUAGAUGACUCACUGGUGGAGUGUAAUAAUGCACUAUAAUUAAAAUGACAACUCUAACAUAUCCUCCUGAGAACCAAGGAUAAGAAUCUUCCUAUUGAACUUAUUUUGUGAUUUCCUUCCUCUUUGGAGCUAAAAGAGGCCACCCAAAUACAUGAGAUAUCAAUGGAAAGACCAGGAUGUCCUCUGU